CUGAAAAAGUGCUAGGUUGACAGCCUCUAUUUAUCCACAGAACAGGUUUUCAUAGGCAGCUGCAGUGCAAACUUCCCCAAAUUGCCUGACUAUUGUGGCCCAGUUUUGACCUCAGUGAAUCACCUCACAUUUUCAGCACAAUUUAAUUUCCUUUUUCACUCAUUCCUUGGGAUCG
rnacentral:sRNA from 1 species